UUUCACCAUUUUUCAUUUUCAACGCUCUAUUCUUUCUUUUCCCUUUCCUCCUCGUCCUCCUCCUCAUUUUCCUCUGAUUUUAGGGUCCUGAUUUCUGAUUCCUUGCAGUGAAACUUCUUUUUCUUCUUCCUCUUCUUCCAUCCUCCAUUUUCUUCCUUUUUUGAAUUGAAGUCCCAUGACUUCUUCUACUUCUGUCAAGAAGAACUUCUUGCCCCCGGCCUUGUUUCCAAUCUUGAAGAUGUUCUUCACAGCAGGAAGGGUGCUGAUGAAGAAUCCAAGGAUGUUAAAGCCAUACCUGAAAGCUUCGGAGAAUCCUGCUGAAAGUUCUAGUGAGGGUCAAAAUUCCACCUAGAAGCCAUCAACUGUGGACAAAAACAAAAAAGCCAAUAUAGGUGCCCAAGGAGGAGGUUAUUGGGAGAAGCCUACAUCCAGUUGGAAUACCAAGUAGUCUCGAGGCGAUUGCGACAGUGGAGAAGAAGGAGCUUGGGGUAAAUCCGGUUUUGCCGACGAUGGGAAGUCUUCAUUUGGUUGGGGUUGCUGAUUGAAUGGUAAUAUCUAAACUUACAUUUUGUAGACAAUGCAAAGGGAGUUUGGCUGUUAAGAAGUUUAUUUCUUCUAAGAACAUUUAUGAAUUAUUGUAUUUCUUUAUAACAUUUUGAAUAUUCUGGGUAAUGCAAAAAAAAAAAAAAAAAAAAAACUUUAGAACCCCACACUUAUUUCCGUUUUAAAACAUCUUUCAACCUUUCUUUUCCUCUUUUCAUUUGCUGUUAUAAGAGAAACCACUAUGCUUGUGAGAGAUGUUUAUUUCCCAAAUGGUGUGUCUUUAAGCAAGAACGAUUCAUUCUUUAUUUUCUACGAAGGGGGAAAAGGAAGCCUUGUUCUAGGCCUUCGUCACUACAGCUGCAAGUGCUUAAGUCUUUGGGGUGGCUUUGUUCUCAAGUUAGGAACCAAAAAGAACAGAGGCAAAUUCUUAUUGACAAUGUGGAUUAUCCUGGUUGUUAUGCCAUGACUGUACUUCAUCAUGGCUCAAACGUCCAGGGUCUCCAAACAACAACUAUAUUUGAUCCCAACACUGAUGUAUUCAUUAUUAAUACACCAAAUGAUGGAACCAUCAAAUGGUGGAUUGGUAAUGCUGCCGUUCAUGGCAAGUUUGCCAUUGUUUUCGCUAAGCUGGUGUUGCCAACUCAUGAUUAUAAAAAUGGGUGUCCACGCAUUUAUUGUUCUGAUAUAACUCUUGUAAAUUCUCAUUUUGUAGUUGGAAUCUAAUUUAGAGUCUUGAAAUUGACAUAUGACACAAGGUGAAAUGACUCCGACACAUAGAUCUUGCUCUAAACCAAGAUUGACAUAUGAGAUUGAAUCCGAAAACAAAUUUUUAAAAAAGUAAAAGAGAAUGUGAAGACGAAUGAUGUUAUGCAAAAGGAUAAGGUAAAUAUGGACAUGAUCAUUCUGAAUGAUGAACAUGAGAAUUUCAAGAAUGAGAGCAAAAAUGAACAAACUUUAGAGGACAAAGCUUCAAUGAUGGUUGCUAAGGAAAAGAUGUUGUCUGUGAGUCCACAAUCAAUUUGCCACUACCUUUAAAAUCAAUACUUAGGUUUGUUGAAAAGGUAAUGGCCAAAGAGUCUGCCAUUUCUUUCCAACUACUUGUUAAGCUGUUUGGUAUCAGUAGAAAGAGUUGUGUUUUGGAGGAGGAUAUUAUUGACUUCUGUAGCAUGAGGGAAGUUAAGAUUUCGACGUUGGUUGCAUAUAUGAUGUAAGUAAUAUGAUUUCAUUCGUUUAGGUACUCUAAUUUUUUAUAGGUACUCGUUUAUUAACUUUUAAUCUUUUAUAGGUA